CAAAGUCACAAAAUCAAGGUAGGUGAAGAUCCAGGCUCUGAAAGAAGACCAGAGGCUUGAGGGGAUAAUUGAUUCUGUAGCAUCCUCUUGAUGAGGGAAGCACUGAAGCUCACCCACUUGCCAGCCACUGCCCCGCUUUGGGCAAUCUGAAGCUGAUCACGGCAUCCCUGGAGGAUGGUGUAAAAUGCCAGUGAACUUGUGAACUAAUUCAAUGACAUGCCUGUUGUUCCACUUAUUUAGGUUUAGAAGAGCUGCAUGGAUGAAGAUGGAGUGUGACACCUGAAAUAAUAGGAUUUUACAGGAAAUAAUGCUGAGUGAGAAGUGCUAACAGAGGCACCUACAAAGUACUGAGGGGACGAAAGGUGGACCCACCAGCCGUGGGCCUCCAACUCCUGCACAGACAGGGGCUGCGACAUUUCUGCUUUGUCUCCUAGGGGAAGUGAGAGCUUCAUACUUCCAGAGGCUGUGAAGCCAGGAGCUUUGUGCCCACGAGCUGACUGUCAGCCCUCUCUUGCCCUGAGAGGCUGCCAGAUCUCGUGUUGGGGAUGACAGCAAGAAACACCAGCCCUGAGGGGGGAGUUCAGCUCCCAUGGACAAUAAGCAAAGUGGAAACAGGGUAUAGAGUUCCUGAUAUUUCAGGCCAACACUAACUGGCAGACAAUUCUCCCUUUUAAAGAACUCUGUGCCUUUUCACUAAUGAAUUCAUGUCCCCACAGAGCCAUAAAGGAUGAGAAUUUGGUUCAAAUGUAUACUUAAAUUGGAUCUCCUUGUAAGAAUGCUUUAAAAAAUCAAAUGCAGCCACCUGUGACCUAUUAAGACUCUUAAUGUACUCAUUGACAUGAAUACCUGAAGGGUUUCUACAACAGCUGGAACAUGGCUCAAAGAUCCUUUGUGUCUGCUUUUUAAUGUACUUCCACAGUGACUUUGUAAAACUGCAGCCACUACUACCACCGGUGUGACUGAGGUGUUUGACAACUUGAGGCCUCAUCUUCCACCACUGAUGCAAGUGAUUAUUCAUACUGCUUAUUCCUAAUGCCUUGAAGAUGAAAAUCAAACCCCAAAUAGGCUACUAAUUGAGAGACAAGGCUUAAAAGACUUAGGUAAUCAAAACCUGCAUGUCCCUGGCCACAACCCUCACAAAAUAGCGCUUUUCAAGCUCCACUCUCCUUCACUGUAGCAUCAUCAGUCCCCUCAAAUUCUUCUCAUUCAGGUCCCCGCAAGGCUCAAAUUCCUUCCUAUGGUGCUGCCUAAGGGCUCCAUCAAUUAACCUUCUUGGCCCUAGUGGGGCCCCCUGUCCAACCUUCCAUGGUGCUCCACCUGCCCCUCUGUGCCUUUGGUGACCGUGCAGCCUCCUGGCCCGUGGAGAGGCCGGUUGCUGCAGGUUCCACACCAAGGCUGACGGCAACCAAGGCAGAGGGGCUUGCAUCUGGGCCGCUGCAGCUGGCUGCAACAAACCCUGUACCAUCCCCAGAACUGCCUUUCUACUCCAUCCCACCCCUGCUGCCCUUGAGCUUUUUCCAUGUUCUUUUCAGUCAACAAGUGUUUAUUGAACAUAUAUUAUAUGAUGAGCACCAAAAUAGGCUCCUGGAGAAUAGUCAUGUGCAAAGAAAGUAUCAUGAA